GACGAACGCUGGCGGCGUGCCUAACACAUGCAAGUCGAGCGAAUGAAGUUCCUUCUGGAAUGGCUUUAGCUGCGGACGGGUGAGUAACACGUGGGCAACCUGCCUCAUAAAGGGGAAUAGCCUUCCUAAAGGGAGAUUAAUACCUCAUAAGAUUUUAGUAUAGCCUGAUACAGCAAUUAAAAGAGCAAUCCGCGAUGUGAUGGGACCGCGGCGCAUUAGCUAGUUGGUGAGGUAACGGCUCACCAAGGCGACGAUGCGUAGCCGACCUGAGAGGGUGAUCGGCCACAUUGGGACUGAGACACGGCCGAGACUCCUACGGGAAGCAGCAGUGGGGAAUAGUGCAACAUGGGGGGAAUGCUGAUGCAGCAACGCCGCGUGAGUGAUGACGGCCUUCGGGUUGUAAAGCUCUGUCUUCAGGGACGAUAAUGACGGUACCUGAGGAGGAAGCCACGGCUAACUACGUG
rnacentral:rRNA from 1 species